rnacentral:rRNA from 1 species
AGGAUGAACGCUGGCGGCGUGCCUAAUACAUGCAAGUCGAGCGAACCACUUCGGUGGUGAGCGGCGAACGGGUGAGUAACACGUAGGUGAUCUGCCCAUCAGACGGGGACAACGAUUGGAAACGAUCGCUAAUACCGGAUAGGGCGAAAGUUUAAAGGUGCUUCUGGCACCGCUGAUGGAUGAGCCUGCGGCGCAUUAGCUAGUUGGUAGGGUAAAGGCCUACCAAGGCGACGAUGCGCAGCCGACCUGAGAGGGUGAACGGCCACACUGGGACUGAGACACGGCCCAGACUCCUACGGGAGGCAGCAGUAGGGAAUCUUCGGCAAUGGGCGAAAGCCUGACCGAGCAACGCCGCGUGAAUGAUGAAGGCCUUCGGGUUGUAAAAUUCUGUUAUAAGGGAAGAACGACUUUAGUAGGAAAUGGCUAGAGUGUGACGGUACCUUAUGAGAAAGCCACGGCUAACUACGUG